rnacentral:rRNA from 1 species
GCUUUUAUAUAAACUUAAAGUGAUACCUGCCCAGUGAUUUUAAAUUAGAAACAAUAAUUUUGUUUUAAAAUAAUAUUAAACGGACGCAGUAACCUGACUGUGGUAAUGUAGCAUAAUCAAUCGCCAUUUAAUUGAUGGAUAGUAUGAAUGGUUUAACGAGUACUUCACUGUCUUGGGGAGAAAUUUUAUGAAAUUGAUAUAGUAGUUAAGAUCCUACUUAAAAUUGUAAGACGAAAAGACCCUAUAGAGCUUAACUAAAUUCUUUUUAUGAAAAAGUUCAAUAAAAUAAUUUAACUUAACAAAAAAAGAAGGUUAGUUUGGUUGGGGCGACCACCUUUUAUAAUAAACAAAGGUAAACAAUGUUAAUAAUUAAACUUAUUGUCUAAUAAAUUGAUUUAACAAUUACGAAAGUAGGUUAUAGUGACCCGUUAAGAGUAAUAAAUAAUUUUAACGAUUAAUAAAUAAAAGCUACCUUAGGGAUAACAGGAUAAUUUAAGCUUAGAGAUCUUAUCGAAGCUCAAGUUUGUCACCUCUAUGUUGAAUUAAGAUAUCCAAAUGAUGCAGAAGUUAUUAAGGGUAGGUCUGUUCGACCUUUAAAAUCUU